rnacentral:lncRNA from 1 species
GACAAUUAAUGAUAGUAUGCUUAACAAAGGUAAAAAUUACUCUCCAAAUGUGAUCAUCAUAGCAAGCCGAGGUUUUGCUGACAAAGUAAGUUUCAUCUCCUGAGUAAUUUCAUAAAUCAAUGGAAAUUAUCUUUUUUUCUGUAUCUAGUAGACAUACUGACUAUUCCUUUGAAGCCAAAUAGUGCUAGGACUUUUUCCUGUGAAGUGGUAUGAGAAGUAAAUCCUUUCUGUGUAACACUGGCUAUGAAAAUUAUACUAUAGUUUUUAGUUUAUCCAAUGAAAGAAAUUCUCUUUAAGAGAUCAUUUUUACAAAUUUUAAUAGCAUAUUGGUAGUACAUUCCUUUAAACAGGUCAAAAUUUAGUUCUUUAUUAAGCUGAUAAUAAUAGUUGUAUAGCAAUCUUUCCCAUAGUUUAUUAAUUUAUGAUCUCGCUGAACAUAUUUGUUUUAAACACAUUAUGUUUUGGGGAUGUGUUUAGACAUACAAAAGGGAUUCUUUUUACUUUGUUGAUUUUCCCUAUUCUAAUUUUUUCAUAGUCUUCCAUUAAGGGCUCCUCUUUGAAUGAUUAUUUUAAAAUUUACCUUCCUCUUACAUUGUUUUCCAAAUCAAUCUUUUUCCCUUUCUAAAAUAGUACUUUUGGGGCCACGCGCGGUGCCUCACGCCGCAAUCCCAGCACUUUGGAAGCUCGAGGCGGGUGGAUCACGAGGUCAGGAGAUCGAGACCAUCCUGGCUAACACAGUGAAACCCCGUCUCUACUAAAAAUACAAAAAAAUUAGCCCGGUAUGGUGGCGGGUGCCUGUGGUCCCACCUACUCGGGAGGCUGAGGCAGGAGAAUGGCGUGAACCCGGGAGGCGGAGCUUGCAGUGAGCCGAGAUAGCGCCAUUGCACUCCAGGCUGGACGACAGAGCGAGACUCCGUCUCAAAAAAAAUAAAUAAAUAAAAUAAAAUAGUACUUUUAUUUAGUUAAAACAAAUGUCAUAAUAGGAAGGUUAUCAACACAGAAUAGUAGUAUACAACAGGUUUUGAUUUUGUUUGCAUGAAUCCUCGUCAAUAUUGCCUCUAAAACUUCAAAAACUAACCAGUUAAUAAACAUUAGCCGUCUUCACCUUAGCAAUUUCACAUGAAUCCGUGGAAAACAUAUGCUCCUGACAUAUUCAUAUAUCCUAAAACGCUUUUGUGCUGUAUGUCUAUUGACAAUUCGUACGGUAUUGCAUUUUGAUUAUGCAAAAUGACAUACAGAGUAAUUUAUUCCUACGCUGGAAAUAGAAAAGUUACCUAAGCCACAAGCCCCAGGGUACUGUUAGCAGUGUCUGUUCACAAUAAUCACAAUGAAUUUCAUGCCUGUGGCCUAUUUUCACAUUGCAGUAUUCUGGGCCCAGAGCUCAGACAAGCUGUUCUGCUCUGAGGCACGCAUAACAACUAGCAACAAGCAUUUGGGGCUUCCUAUUGAACAUCUGUUGCAAGAGCAGAGAGAUAUAAUUACAACGCAGUGCCCCAUUUCUUUCCUCCUAAUCCACCAAGAAUCAUUUUUAAUAGUUUUUUUCUAUUAUUUAUAUGGUUUAAGUAAAUUAUUCAAGGAGAUGUUGAUUGUAAAAUGGUUCUUUUGUUCCCAGCCUGUUUUCCUUGGGUUCGUUGUCAGGUGACCUGAGGUCCAAUGCCUUCAUUCCAUCUCAUCAGUGUCCGCCUUUCCUCUCUCUCUCUUUUAUUAUUUCGUUACUCUUCCACAGACCUUCUUUUCCUACCUAUAAAAGUGACCUCAUAUAUUAUUACUAUUCUCAGUAUCUUCUAAAACAUGAGAUUUUUUUUUCAUACUUAGCACAUUUACACAGGGUUUCCUUUAUAUAGAUUGUGCAAAGCCAUUGAUUGGUUUUCUCUUUCCACUUCCUUCUUUUUUAAAAAAAUUAAUCUGGGGGAAGGAAUAUAAGCUUCCUCCCAGGGCAGUGUAUGCAGGAGAUGCUGCUACUCACUAUCUUCACUUUAACAGCCUCACUAAUAUUCACACCAAUAUGAACGCACACACACACACAUACAUGCAUAAACAGGCACACACACAUCUACACACACACCACACACAUGCACACACCACACACGCACACACCACACACAUAAACACGCACACCACACACAUGCACACAUGCACACCACACACACGCACCACAUGCACACACACACCACACAUGCACACACCACAAACAUGCACACACAUACGCACACACGCACAAUCUGUCUUUAGUCCUCACUCAUCUAAAAUUGUUUUCAAAAAUGUCACUCAGUGUGUCUUUAUGUAAAGCGAAAAAUAUAUAUUUUGUACUUAUUCAUGUAAUCUAUCUUUUUUUCUGAAAUGCUCUCUUUCCUCUGCUUCUAAAAUGUCACGUCCUCUUAAGUUUUCUCGUAGCCAUUCUGGACACCUUUUCUCUCUUAACGGUGAUAUUCCUCAGGAUCUCUUCUUUUCACAUUCUAUCCUUAAUGUGGCCUGAAGCCCCACCCUUCCUGUGGCUGUCCAUGCCUGUUUUUCACUGAACAGCUCAGAGUGUACUAUGCCACUCUUGCUUCAUUUCACACAUGGGCUAGCUGCAUUACUGGACGCUGUUAUAUUCUGAUUCAAAGGAAUAAAGAACUGACAAGGAGGCAGAAGUGGGAAAAUUAUCUGCCUCCAAUGUACUAUCCACA